rnacentral:rRNA from 1 species
UACGAGGGGAGCAAGCGUUGUUCGGAUUUACUGGGCGUAAAGGGCGCGUAGGCGGCGUGACUAGUCACUUGUGAAAUCUCCGGGCUUAACUCGGAACGGUCAAGUGAUACUGUCGUGCUAGAGUACAGAAGGGGCAACUGGAAUUCUCGGUGUAGCGGUGAAAUGCGUAGAUAUCGAGAGGAACACCUGCGGCGAAGGCGGCUUCCUGGACCAAUACUGACGCUGAGGUGCGAAAGCGUGGGGAGCAAACAGG